ensembl:lncRNA
GGAUUUCUGAGCUGGGGAGGAUGAGUGGAUCAUUUGACAGGAGGGAGAAGCUGCGGGAGGUAAUGCAUAGGGUGUGUGCAAGGUCCUGCAGCGGGUAGAGUAGGGAGGCCUUGAAAAUCCCCACUGCCCCCACCUCUGCAGAGGAGCCAGGAGGCCUUGCAAGCUCCUCCUUGUAACCCCCUUGGAGUUGCUUCUUUUACCACGGUUCCUUUGGAGCUGGGGCAGAGCAGUGCCUGGCCAUCCCCUCCCACGCUGUGCUGGAGCUGACCGGGACAACUGGGGCCACAGUGCAAAGAUAGAUAGAUCACAGAAGAAGGUUAAAAAAAAAGCACUUAUAAAAAAGUUUGAACUGACUGUUUUCUGGAAGCUGUUUCUCAGCAGGGACACCAGAAUGGGGGGGCACAGCUGAGGGGAUGACAAACUGCGCAGCACAGCAAAACAGGGGAGGAGACACUUAAAACAGUUUUGCUACACAUGGACGUGAUCUUGUGAUGAUUCAGUUGACUUCUUCUAAUUUUUCUAGUUGAUGAAGGAUCUUAGAUUGCAUGGGGAAAACUUUAGUGGUGGAGGAGGAGAACUGGAAAUGCAGCAAAGGCAUGUCCUGGAGCUUCAACCGUCAAUUCAGAUAUCUAUUCAAGGAAUCCAGACUUCCCUGUAAAAUGUUUCACAAUAGUAAAACCAUUUCAAAACCUUUUCCAGAUAAGAAUUGAAAACUUGUGUUGGCAGAUUCUGUAGGUGAGAUUGCCAUGGAGAAGGCUGCAGAGGGGGGUUUGUGUCCUUUUAAAGAUACAUGGACACACAGAGAUGGAUCUGGAGAAGCACAGCUCGAAGUUGACACUGGCAAGAGCUGACAAGGCCCAAAGAUGUGCUGAUGUAAGGCUUUGGUGGGACUCAGCUCAGCAGUGAGGAGGCUGCAAAUGGGUGAAGCCAUGGCAAAGCACACAGCGCUCGGCCCCAUGCUGUUGCUGUUUGCUUUGGAUCAGCUCUGGGGCUGCCAGCAAACUGGAUGUUCAGUUCAUUAGGCCAGCCAAGAGUUGGAUGGUUACCCUGUGGGCUAGCAAGGAGACACUGACACAGGGAAGAGUUCAAGGAGAGGAGGGGAACCUGUGCUUUCAUGCUGCUCAAACAGAUUGGGGGGAAGAUCUGCCUAAUGCUUAUCCAUAAUGAAAUUAGUUUUGGAAGGCAACGGCUAUUUAUGAGAAAUAGCUGCUAAUUACGAGAUCACUUCAUGGGGAUUUUUUGAUUUCAGUUUUGCUUUUGUGUUCUUUGUUACAAGCAGUUUCCAUUUUAGCAGUGCUUGUUGGCAAAGGAAGUGCUAAAUCCAAACUUGAGUUACACCCAUGCUUUGUUUCAGCAGCCUCUUCCAGCCAGGCACUGGGCAGUGCAGUGGUGCCCUUUGGGGAGGUCUCUGCAGUCUUCUUCCAUUCCCAUGGCUGGUUUAUGAAGUGGUGGCACAAAGAGCUCACGUGAUGUAUUUAGGGGGCAAAGUGGUACAGGGCUGCACAAGGAGCCUUCAUCCAAGGCUGUGGCCUGAGCUCCCCUUUCAUGAAAGAAGGGCUGGGGUCUUUCACGUGCUGCCUUCCACCACAGCUUAACAACCCACACUUUUGAGCCAUAUCGAAACCACACUGAUGUUACUCCAUGCCAGUGCCCAGCUGAAUAAAGGAUAUUUGCCUUAUUUAGGAAAACACAGCCCCCUCUUCCCCAUAAAGCAUUCUGGAGAGAAAGGAGGAAAGUGGAGCUGGGUAAGUGCACCUGGUGGCUGAAGUGUGACCACUAAGAGCAGGCUGUGAACUUUAAACUGCUCUUUUGACACAAGAGCUUAGCUCUUAAACUAGAAAACAGAGCCUUUGUACUCACUGUUAUCAGCAAGUUCACUGUUUUCACUAUUACAACUGAAAUAGGAGAACUGGGCGUGUAAUUACGUUAAUUUGAACAGCAAGGCAACUGGAUAGCACAAUAUGUCUGCCGGCUGCUGAUGGCUCUACAUGUGUUAUUUAAAUUACAGGAUAGCAGAGGACAAUGAGUUGCUCUUACAGAUCUAGAUAUGAGGGUUAUCAGGGUUCUCCCGUUGGAAUUGCCCAAGAGGAGAGAUCAUGCCUGGGACCCCUGCUGGCAGUGGAGGCCCCAUUGUGCUCUGCAGAUCUGCACACAACUGUAUUUUCUUCACUGUGCCUUUUUAAGACACAAUUACCACUGCUGACAAGGAAGGGGUUCUAAUUUUGAAUCUGAUAAUGAAACUGAUAAACCACCCAAAAGUAAUGGAUGUGCAUUUUGAGCACCCCUUACUGCAGCCUGCCUACAGAGCCUUCUCUCAAGAAGCACUUUCCUCAUCCCUCAAGAUAUCCAGAGAGUAGAGAUUAGAAAUGUUUUAUAAAUAUUCCUCACAUAGCCCGUUCUUUUUCUCCAGUUGUAUCCUCUUUCCUCACUCAGAGAUUUUCUCCAGGGUCAUCUGAGGUUGUGAUAACGUGCAGAGCAUCCCUCAGCAGCCUGCAGAGGUCUCAGAUUUACACCAUGUCCACCUUCAGCAGCAGUCAGAUUACUUGGCAUUUGCACACGUGGUUCUCAAAACUGAGGGCAGCCCAGGUGUGAGAUGUCCUAUGGGUUGACAUUCUCGAGCCCUACAGCUCCUGUCACCACUCAUGAUGGAAUGCAUGGAAAGAGAAGAAAUCAUUCUAAUGGAUAUUUGAUCUCGCUGUUGUUUCUUCAGACACCAAACUAUGUCCACCUGAUGGAGGGGACCACCAGGAGGAAGAAAUCUCAGCACCCAUUUCCCCCUUAAUGUGCUUUGCAAUCCCCCCCAUGAUGAUAUUCAUCCCUGUUGGAGUACUGCUGUAGUUGAACCGGCUGUCUGUCUUGCACGUAAGACAUCUGGUAUUGAAGUUCCUUAACACAGACAAUAUAUUUCAGAUAAAGGCAGCUCGGUGUUUGGUGAGCACGCAGCUCUCCAAAAUUGCCUUCAGAUUACUUUGCUGGUGCAGAGACCCGAUGUGUGUUCAGUGUGGGCUCACACUGACCUGCAGGCUAUGCAGCCUCUGCAACAUCUAUUGCACUCACCUUUAUCUUUUCCUCACGUUCACGCAGAUAGAAAGCAUCAUGUCCAAGCUGGCUUCUGAAAUUUCUCCCUAAUUUCUGCUCUUUGGUGGGGUCUCAGCAGUUACUGCAGAGCGUGAGUCCUGUGAAGGGUCACCGGUUCUGUGUAGCUGCAGAAGUAUCUGUGCUUUAUCCUGAAGCAGACAGCAUCAGUGCAAGGUCAGCUGGUGGUCAGCAUCGUGCUUCUCUGGGCCGGCAGCACAGCUGAAUGUUUCCAGGAAAUGAACAUUUGUGUGCCCCGAGGAGCAUUUUUAAGCAUGUUCACAUGGCGGGGAUGGAGGUGCUGGAGCAGAUGAUGUGAUAGCUCUUAAUGCAACGCAGAGCGUGUGCAUGUGGCUGGAUGGUGGAAAGCACAAGAGCUGAUAAACGCUUUGAAAUGCUGCAGAAAACCACGGUGGAAAAGAAGAUUGGAUUGAUGUGAGGAGUAGAAGGCAGUCCUGGGCUAUUUUGUGAUGUGCUGCCAAAGAGUUAAACGACCCUUAUGAAAGAAAGAAAUACAGCUGGACUGGUGCCGGAGAAAAAGGAGGAAUUAGAAGCAAGCAGAGAACACGCGCUGCUCCUGGAGACUAACAAAAUAACGCCUGGUCCUGCUCCAAGGAGGCUUCUGAGCACUAGGCAAAGGCAAAC